rnacentral:rRNA from 1 species
CAAGCGGUGGAGCAUGUGGUUUAAUUCGACGCAACGCGAAGAACCUUACCUGGGCUCGAACGGCUUCUCAACGGCUUUGGAAACAGAGCUAUCCCGCAAGGGAGUGGAGUCGAGGUGCUGCAUGGCUGUCGUCAGCUCGUGUCGUGAGAUGUUGGGUUAAGUCCCGCAACGAGCGCAACCCUUGUCCUGUGUUGCCAAUAUUAAGUUAGGCACUCUCAGGAGACCGCCAGCGAUAAGCUGGAGGAAGGUGGGGAUGACGUCAAGUCAUCAUGGCCUUUAUGUCCAGGGCUACACACGUGCUACAAUGGGCGGUACAAACCGUUGCAAACCCGCGAGGGGGAGCUAAUCGGAAAAAACCGUUCUCAGUUCGGAUUGCAGGCUGCAACCCGCCUGCAUGAAGCUGGAAUCGCUAGUAAUGGUAUAUCAGAACGAUACCGUGAAUACGUUCCCGGGCCUUGUACACACC